rnacentral:rRNA from 1 species
UACCAAGCCGACGAUCAGUAGCCGACCUGAGAGGGUGACCGGCCACAUUGGGACUGAGACACGGCCCAAACUCCUACGGGAGGCAGCAGUGGGGAAUAUUGCACAAUGGGGGAAACCCUGAUGCAGCGACGCCGCGUGAGCGAUGAAGUAUUUCGGUAUGUAAAGCUCUAUCAGCAGGCAAGAAAAUGACGGUACCUGACUAA